rnacentral:rRNA from 1 species
AACGGGGGGAGCGAGCGUUAUUCAUCAUUACUGGGCGUAAAGGGCGCGUAGGCGGCUCUCUUGGUCGUGGGUGAAAUCCCCCAGCUUAACUGGGGAAGGGCUUACGAUACCGGGGGGCUCGAGGGAGGAAGGGGCGGUCGGAACUGUCGGUGGAGCGGUGAAAUGCGUUGAUAUCGACAGGAACGCCGGUGGCGAAAGCGGACCGCUGGCCCUCUUCUGACGCUGAGGCGCGAAAGCCAGGGGAGCGAACGGG